GACGAACGCUGGCGGCGUGCUUAACACAUGCAAGUCGAACGGAAAGGCCCUGCGUUUGUGGGGUGCUCGAUUGGCGAACGGGUGAGUAACACGUGAGUAACCUGCCCUUGACUUUGGGAUAACUUCAGGAAACUGGGGCGAAUACCGGAUAGGAGCUCCUGCUGCAUGGGGGGGGUUGGAGAGUUUCGGCGGUUGGGGAUGGACUCGCGGCUUAUCAGCUUGUUGGUGGGGUAGUGGCUUACCAAGGCUUUGACGGGUAGCCGGCCUGAGAGGGUGACCGGCCACCUUGGGACUGAGAUACGGCCCAGACUCCUAUGGGCGGCAGCAGUGGGGAGUAUUGCACAAUGGGCGGACGCCUGAUGCAGCAACGCCGCGUGCGGGAUGACGGCCUUCGGGUUGUAAACCGCUUUCGACUGUGACGAAGCGUGCGUGACGGUAAUGGGUAAAGAAGCACCGGCUAACUACGUG
rnacentral:rRNA from 1 species